ACAAUGGAGAGUUUGAUCCUGGCUCAGGAUGAACGCUAGCGGCAGGCCUAAUACAUGCAAGUCGAGCGGUAGAGAUGCUUUCGGGUGUCUUGAGAGCGGCGCACGGGUGCGUAACACG
rnacentral:rRNA from 1 species